rnacentral:rRNA from 1 species
CUCCUCUCCGCUCGUCCCUUUUCCUUUCAUUUAGAUGCCGGCAUGCGCAGCAGUCAGGUCGGCAACACCUCUCCUCUCCUCCGAAAGGGGGCCGGGGCAGCAGGAGGAGUGGGUGGACUGUCCGUGGCCGUGGUGGUCGUGGCGGGGCGGGGCGGGGCGGUUCGUAGGGAGGGGAGGAGGGGAGGGGAGGGGAGGGUGCCCGGGGUUGGUUGAGCGGGGCGGCAGGGGCUGGGCGCCGGGAUAUUGGGGAGGUCUGGGGGAGCUAGGCUACGCGAUCGGCCGACUAGGCCCCGGGAUUAGCGCGUUAAGGGCGGCGGUACCUGCGGGGGCGCGGAUGGGGACGGAGUCGGGGAGGGCGGCGGCGUCACGGCCGGCUCCGGCGCCGCUCCGGCGGACGAGGGCGAGGUCGAGGACGAGGACGCGGCGGCGGCGUCGGACGGCGCCGCCGGGGCGGCCGCCCCUCCGUCGACAAGAGGCACCUCGAGGCCGGGCCCCUCUGGUGGUAACACAGCACCUUCUUCGACGAGUUCCUCCGGCCGGGCCCUCGGCGGGGCGGCGGGAGGGACGGGCGGCGCCGCCACGUCGGCCAGCAGCGGGGGGAGCGCCCCGGGAGACCACGGCGCCAUGUAGGUUGUCUUUUGCUGGGUUUACUAGGUAGUGUCAGUUUAGCCAAGUUACGUCAAUAACUCUUUUAGCUCGCGGAAAUGUACCCGUUUGUAUCAUCACUGCUUCUUCUAGACCCACUACACGGACUACUACUAGUCAUACUGUGACUUCUAAGAAAGUAACUACUGCGACUUAACCUACUCAUGAAACUUCAACUGUUAAACCUUUGGUUCGUGUGACCUAAAAAACACUUGUUUCCCUUUAACCUUGUUUCACUCAUACCGAGUCAUGUUUUACAACAUGGUCUACCACGUCAUGUUUUACAACCUGGUUUCUUUGCCUCUUCUUCUCUAAGAAGUUUAAGAAUGUAGCUUUUAUCGUUCCUCGAACGUGGUCCGUCGUACGGACAUUUUCAGGGAUUUUCUUUGCGAGAACUUUAUCCUUUUUUGUAUCGUUCAUCACUGAAUUCAAGAAUGUCGCUUAUAGUGAGACUUCCGUUGUUUGGCAACUGCUUAUUUUCAUUAAGGGGACAUUCUUACGUCUUUCACUUACGGUCACUGUUACGUUGACCACGACUCAUACGUAGUGUAGGCUUCUAUAGUUGUAUGAACCUCUUCCUACGACGUCACGUUGAACUAGAGGUUAACUUUUUUAGGAGAUUACACCGCUUCGGUCUAAACGGUUUCUUUUACGCGGCGUUUCUUUUGAUACCACAGUUAGUCAAAGGACCCAACUGAUGUCGUCUGUUGCAUAUAAGCUGUGUUUGUUGCGUGAACCGACGCUUGUCCGCGUAUCUUCCAAGUCCAUAAUUCCGGUUCCCAUGGUCUGAACUCGCUCGAUAAGCACUGGAACUUUUAUAACAGCCACUUAUAUUUGGUGUAUGAGAACUACAAGGCAUGUAACUAGGUUUAACAGUUCCUCGCCAGUUUUCUUCUAACGGAGUUCUUUAUUUUGUUUUUGAACGAUUCCAGCGUUCCAAUAGCCGUUUAGUCCCAUUUUAGAGUCUUCUACUUAACUAGUUAGCAGAGUACCCGUAUCAACCCGUGGAACACGUCGCAUCCUGUGACUUCUCUUUGUACUUUCUUUACCAACUUAGCCCAUACACACGAUUUGUUCUCUUCCGACUGUUCAAGGUUGUUCACUUUUGACUCUAGAUACUUUACCAGUUUCGUGCAGAUCUGUGGUUCGGGUUCCAAUGACUUGUUUCCCUACUAAGUCGUGUACUAAAAGUCCCCCCACAGUUAUAACUACUAUUUUGUCGGAAUUUUCCGUUUAAACAAGACCUACGAGGUGACCUCCUGUCCUAGACACUAGAUAUACUAGAAAUACAACUCCCAUACCUACUUCUGUUCCCGGGAGUCUCAGCAUUCAAUAUACAUCUCGAACGACUGAAUACCGGUGUUCCAAUGUACCUAUUUCAACUUUAAGCUUUGCGGUAAAGUUCUAGUUUCCUCGCUUCCUUAAAUAACAUGGCCGUCGCGUUCCAAGCGUUGCUCCUCUCUUACUUCUCCUCUUCCUAUCGACGACGACGGUUCAGUGCUCUACCGUUGGGUUACCACCGAGUGAUACGAUGUCGUGUCGUUCAAUACGUUGGCGGGCACUUUCUGCGAUCAGGUAGCUACUGUUCGUGCGUGUGGAACAUAGGACAGCAAUUGAUACCUGUGUCGGUCCAGACGUCUUUGCGGCUGUCUCAACCACUUCACUGGCACCCACGUCAUAGACUGCCGUUGGCAUCAAGAAGGCGCCUGUAGUUCUCCUCUUUUGAUCCAAGCCUGCGGCGGCACCUAGACGUUGACGUUCGAUUGGGUGACUUCCGGGGGGGCGCCAUACAGUCACUCUUCGUCUUCGGACGUUUCGCACGCCUACUACGUUUCCAGCCGUCAUCGUCAUCGGAAGGAGUCUGCCACGAACGGUAACGUCCGAUACUGGGGGUCGCCGGGCCGAUGUCGAUUGUUUUAGUAAAACCACCACGAGGUAACCCCUUGUCUUCUUAUUUAGUACCGGUUUCCAACCGAACAUUGUUUCUAUCCAUCCAUCUACAAGCUACACGAGCGACGGUUAACUGAAGACUCGUUUAAUACAAACUUGAGAAUUGCGCAGUAGAACUGACUCUUCCCAUAAAAGACCGGGUAAACAUCAAACCUUUCUACUUAUUAAAUGUAACAAACCAGACAAAGCAAACAGUAACAAGGGGAGCUACAUUAGUAAGACAACAACCAAGAGAGAGUGGUUGUAGACGUAGACUCUAGGUAAAACUCACGGCCUUAAAUAGUAUACUGGGACAAAUAGUCUUUAGGUACAGAAUACAAAA